rnacentral:rRNA from 1 species
AUUCCAGCUCCAAUAGCGUAUAUUAAAGUUGUUGCAGUUAAAAAGCUCGUAGUUGAAUUUCUGUUGCGUUGACUACGUUGGACUUUGUUCGGCGUCUGUCACUUCAACAUUUUUCUUGGCAUGCACUUCAUUGUGUGUGUCUGGAGAGUUUUACUUUGAGAAAAAUAGAGUGUUUCAAGCAGGCUUUGCCUUGAAUACUGCAGCAUGGAAUAAUGUUAUAGACCUGCAUUCCUAUUUCAUUGGUUUUAGGGAAUGAGUGAUGAUUAAUAGGGAUGGUUGGGGGCAUUUGUAUUCGACUGUCAGAGGUGAAAUUCUUAGAUUUGUCGAAGACAAACAACUGCGAAAGCAUUUGCCAAGGAUAUGCUCAUCG